CGAGAGAUCAGUGACCGUGUUGGUUUCUUAAGAAAGAUGGAAGAGUGGCAUCCAACAAUCUGGACAUCCUUGUAUCAAGCUGUUGGUUGUCUUUGAGUGGCAAGUGGGCGUAUUGCUGAAAAAUCGUAUCUGAUGCCUAUUACUUAUUCGGUACUUCUGCUUGGAAGAACCGUUCCGAACUCCUGGAGAGGAAACAAAAGAUCAGGCAUCAUUUGUUAUGGACUGUAAUGAGAAGUGUUUACCUUUUUACCCCCACAACUACCCUUGUUCUUAAUUAGACCGGGCUGAGACGAAUUUCAGUGCAUGAACCAUAACUUCUUGGUGCACCAAA